rnacentral:misc_RNA from 1 species
GAUUUGAAGCUUAAUCUUUCCACCAAAGAAUCUGCAAGGAAGGGUAUUGGAGAGGAGAAGAUGAAGGAGAAAGCUGCUGUACUUCCUUCUUCUACUGAUCCAGCAAAACCUCCUGCCAAGGCACAAGUUGUGGGUUGGCCACCAAUUCGAUCAUUCCGAAAGAAUGUCAUGUCUGUACAGAAAAACAGCAGUGAUGAGGCCGCCGGCAGUAGCAGCAGCAGUGCUGCUUUUGUGAAGGUGAGCAUGGAUGGUGCGCCAUACUUGCGAAAAGUGGACUUGAAAUUGUACAAGAGCUACCAAGAACUCUCUGAUGCCUUAGGCAAAAUGUUCAGCUCCUUUACCAUUGGGAACUGUGGAUCUCAAGGAAUGAAGGAUUUCAUGAACGAGAGCAAAUUGAUAGACCUGUUGAAUGGUUCUGAGUAUGUUCCAACUUAUGAAGACAAAGACGGAGAUUGGAUGCUUGUAGGAGAUGUGCCAUGGGAAAUGUUUGUCGAUUCAUGCAAACGAUUAAGGAUAAUGAAGGGGUCUGAGGCAAUAGGACUUGCUCCAAGAGCUGUGGAGAAGUGCAAGAACAGGAGCUGAAGGCUGAAGAAGAAAUAGAUCAAAGGAAAGCAGAUCCGCUCAAGAGGAAUGGAGCUCCUAGUUUGGAUGUUUUGUAUCAUGGUUUCUUGUUCUUCUUCUUUUAUUUUUAAUUUUUUUUUUAAUUUUUAUUCGGGGAUUUGUUAGAGACAUG